rnacentral:rRNA from 1 species
AUACGGAGGGUGCAAACGUUGUUCGGAAUCACUGGGCGUAAAGGGCGCGCAGGCGGUUUGAUUAGUCAGAUGUGAAAGCCCACGGCUUAACCGUGGAAGUGCAUUUGAAACUGUCAGACUUGAGUACCAGAGGGGGUAGUGGAAUUCCCGGUGUAGAGGUGAAAUUCGUAGAUAUCGGGAGGAAUACCGGUGGCGAAGGCGACUACCUGGCUGGAUAUUGACGCUGAGGCACGAAAGCGUGGGGAGCAAACGGGAUUAGAAACCCUAGUAGUCC